rnacentral:misc_RNA from 1 species
AAAAACCCCUGCAAAAUCCUCAGGAUCUUCCAAAUUUUUUUAGUUGAAUCAAUCACUCUCCACCUUUUGAACUCGAUUACCAGAUACCUUCUUUGCGUAGUCUACCGUAUCUAAGUCUCGCUAUAAUGGCUUUGGUACCUGGUCGCCAUUUACACUUCGAUUCAUUUCAAAGCUCCUUCUCCAAGUUCAACGGCUCUCCUCUCCAUUUCUUCAGGUACAAUUCCUCAAUCCCUCUAAGAGCACGCACUCUCUACGCAAAUUCACUGUGUGACAAGAACCCACCAAGAAAAUCCAGUUUUCUCGCCACUGACAAACCGGUUUCUCAACAGAAACCGAUUGACAAAGUUUCAACGACUAGCAAUUGGUUCUCCAAAUGGAACAAACCCAAUAAACAGAACCACCCAAAACCCCCUCAAGCCGUCUUUAAUUAUCGAAAUGGCGACAACAGCGGUGCUGGUGGUAGUACAAUGGACAAAAUUGUAGAAAAAUUGAAGAAACAUGGGUACGUAGAUGGUGAUGCUAAUGAGAAGAAAGAGAAAACAGCAGAGAGAAUGAUAGAGAAAGGGAGUGUAGAGGAUAUAUUCUAUGCGGAAGAAGGAAUAUUGCCAAAUUCACGAGGUGGGAUUUCCAGGGAAUCACCUUUAGGAGUAGAGGAUCUGUUUAAGAGUAAUGGGGAGGUGAGGUUUCCGUGGGAGAAACCUAAAAAGGAGGAGAAUGAGGAUGAGAGGGAGUGGACGGCGAGGGGCAAGAGUAGGACAGCAUUGGCAGAGUUGACAUUGCCGGAGUCAGAGCUGAGGAGGUUGAGGAACUUGACGUAUCAAAUAAAGAGCAAGGUGAGGGUUAAAGGUGCAGGAGUUACUCAGGAAGUGGUGGAUACCAUUCAUGAGAGGUGGAAGGACUCGGAGAUUGUAAGGGUGAAAGUUGAGGGAGCACCUGCGCUUAAUAUGAGGAGGAUGCAUGAGAUACUUGAGAGGAAAACUGGUGGUUUGGUGAUUUGGAGGUCUGGCACUUCUGUAUCUUUAUAUAGAGGUGUGAGUUAUGAGGUUCCCUUGGUGCAAUUGAACCAGCGGAUUUUGAAGAGAAAUGAGAUAUCUACUAAUUCCUUACCAACUCCCACUGGUAAACUUAUUAUGAGUCCAUCUAGAUUUGCUUCUUCCAGUAAAUUGGAUAUGCCUCGAUCAAACUCAGAUGCUGCUGUGGAGGGUGAGGAGAAGAAAGAAACAGGAAUGCUGGAAGAAGUAAAGUACGAAGAUGAAGUAAACAACCUGUUGGAAGGUCUGGGUCCCAGGUACACAGAUUGGCCAGGGUUGGAUCCAUUACCUGUGGAUGCAGAUCUGCUUCCUGGCAUUGUUCCUGGUUACCAACCUCCAUUCCGGAUACUUCCUUAUGGAGUCAGGUCUACUCUUGGACAAAAGGAGGCAACAUCCUUACGAAGGCUUGCCAGGGUUCUUCCUCCUCACUUUGCAUUAGGCAGAAGCAGGCAGCUCCAAGGCUUGGCUGUUGCUAUGAUCAAAUUAUGGGAGAAGAGUUCAAUUGCAAAGAUUGCACUUAAACGUGGUGUACAACUGACUACUAGUGAAAGGAUGGCUGAAGAUAUCAAGAAAUUGACAGGGGGUAUGCUGCUUUCUAGAAACAAGGACUUCUUGGUCUUCUAUAGGGGAAAGGAUUUUUUGUCACCAGAUGUCUCUGAAACAUUGCUGGAAAGGGAGAGAUUGGCAAAAUCCUUACAGGACAAAGAGGAGCAGGCACGAUUAAGAGCAUCAGCCUUGGUUAUUCAGAGUUCUGGAACAAUGGAGCAGUCAGGAACUGCUGGCACUCUCAAGGAAACUUUGGAUGCAGAUGCAAGGUGGGGAAAGAGUUUGGAUGACAAUCAUAGGGAAAAAUUUAUGAGAGAAGUUGAAAUAGCAAGGCAUGCCAACCUUGUCAGAAAGCUUGAGAGCAAACUUGUUUUUGCUGAAAAGAAGUUAACUAAAGCUGAACGAGCCUUAUCUAAGGUGGAAGAGUUUUUAAAGCCAGCAGAAAGACAGGCUGAUCCAGAUAGCAUAACUGAUGAGGAGAGAUAUAUGUUUAGAAAGCUUGGCUUGAGGAUGAAAGCUUUCUUACUUCUUGGUAGACGAGGUGUUUUUGAUGGUACGGUGGAGAAUAUGCACUUGCACUGGAAAUACCGUGAAUUGGUUAAGAUCAUUUUGAAAGCCAAAAGUUUUGAACAGGUUAAAAAAAUUGCUUUAGCACUUGAAGCUGAAAGUGGGGGUGUCUUGGUUUCAGUAGACAGAGUUUCCAAAGGUUAUGCUAUAAUUGUAUUUCGAGGAAAGAAUUACCAGCGACCUUCCACAUUGAGGCCAAGAAAUCUCUUAACAAAGAGGAAAGCUUUGGCUCGUUCAGUAGAGAUGCAAAGACGUGAGGUAUGUUUACAAAUCUGUAUAUCAUUGAUCAGAACACUUGCAUUUACUUACUGUUUGAGCCAAAAUCCAUUCAAUUUGUAGAUGUCUAAGUUGCUAGUGAGACCAGGGACUGCCAGGCAUUGGCCAUGGUACUCUGAGAUGGAGGGUGGGGUCUUCAGUUUCUUCUUCUUAUUCAUGAUCUGGACAUUUUUUUGAAACUCAGACCAUUGACGUCAUGAAUCAACCUUUAGUCUGUUUCUAUAGUUGGUGCGGUAAUAAGGCACAAGAUUUGAUAUAAGCCCAGGAUGAUUAAUGCCAAUCAUGAAAUAUUUUUAAAGUCUGACUUGAUGUUUGCAGACAACAAUUCAGGUGGUUAACUUUUCUAACUAUAUUGUCAAACAGGCUCUUGUCAAUCAUGUUUCAGCCCUGCAGAUGAAAGUGGACGAAAUUAGAUGUGAAAUUGGACGAAUGGAGAGUGUGAAAGAUGAAGGGGAUGAAGAGCUGUAUGACAGAUUAGAUGCUUCUUAUCCUACGGAUGCUGGUGACAACGAGGAGGAAGGAGAUGAAGCAUGUCUUGGGGCAUACAACAGUGAAUAUGAUGCUAAGUAUGAUGAUGAUGAUGAAACUGGCAACAUAGUUCAAAGUAUCCAUCUGGAAACAAAUUUUCCUUGUGAUGUCCAGAGCCAUGAGUCAGAAACAGAAACUGAGGGGGAAAGAUAUCCUGAGACAUUUGAUGGUGAAAAUGAUGAUGACGAUGGUUUUGAAAGUGAUGACUUAGCUCAAAAUCACCAUACAAGUUUUCCAUACAAUGUUUGAGAUAUGAAGCAUAUCAAGAGGCACUUGAGGGUGAAAGCGAUAAUGAUGUUGAAAGCGAUAACUCUGUUCCGAGUCCCCUUACAAAUUUCUUCUGUGAAUGCUCUAAAACAACUUGGGGUUUGCUAAAGACAUGCUUAAGCAGUGGUCAAUAUGGUGCGCAUCGCAGCAGGAUUACAGCAAGGAGAAUGAUGCCUGAAGGCAAUGAGGAUCUCUGACCACCUGCACAUCCCUAUAAUCAGCGUACAGAACAUUUGUGUGGGCACAUGUAUACGUUACCUAUAUUUGCAUUAUUUUUUUCUUGUAAAUUGGUGUCUCCAAUUCUUAUAACAGAAGUUAGAAUUAAGAGCCUGACCAGCUUUGCUGUAUCAUGGAGAGAGACGAAAAUUGUAAAUGACUAACUGUCAAUGUCAUUUCCAUCCCUGAAAUACAGUAUGUGAUCAUCUGUGCCAGUGCUUACAAUGUUCAUCGUUCUGUAAACUUGCAGCUGACUAUUUGAAACAGU